rnacentral:rRNA from 1 species
UACGGAGGGUGCGAGCGUUGUCCGGAAUCACUGGGCGUAAAGGGCGCGUAGGCGGCCACCGCAAGUCAGUUGUGAAAUCUCUGGGCUUAACCCAGAAAGGUCAACUGAUACUGCGGGGCUAGAGUGCAGAAGGGGCAACUGGAAUUCUCGGUGUAGCGGUGAAAUGCGUAGAUAUCGAGAGGAACACCUGCGGCGAAGGCGGGUUGCUGGGCUGACACUGACGCUGAGGCGCGAAAGCUAGGGGAGCGAACGGG